rnacentral:rRNA from 1 species
GUGGGGAAUCUUGCGCAAUGGGCGAAAGCCUGACGCAGCAACGCCGCGUGGAGGAUGAAGGCCCUUGGGUUGUAAACUCCUGUCGGCUGGGAAGAAGUCGUUUGUGGCUAAUACCCGCAGACGUUGACUGUACCAGCAAAGGAAGCCCCGGCUAACUCUGUGCCAGCAGCCGCGGUAAUACAGAGGGGGCCAGCGUUAUUCGGAAUUAUUGGGCGUAAAGGGCGCGUAGGCGGCCAUGCGUGUCUUCCGUGAAAUCCCUCGGCUCAACCGAGGACGUGCGGAAGAAACUGCAAGGCUCGAGUCCGGAAGAGGGGGGCGGAAUUCCCAGUGUAGCGGUGAAAUGCGUAGAUAUUGGGAGGAACACCAGUGGCGAAGGCGGUCCCCUGGGCCGGAACUGACGCUGAGGCGCGAAAGCGUGGGUAGCAAACGGGAUUAGAAACCCCAGUAGUCC